UACGUAGGGUGCAGGCGUUAAUCGGAAUUACUGGGCGUAAAGCGUGCGCAGGCGGCCCGGUAAGUCCGCUGUAAAAGUCCAGGGCUCAACCCUGGAAAGCCGGUGGAUACUGUCGGGCUAGAGUCCGGAAGAGGCGAGUGGAAUUCCUGGUGUAGCGGUGGAAUGCGCAGAUAUCAGGAGGAACACCAAUAGCGAAGGCAGCUCGCUGGGACGUUACUGACACUGAGGCGCGAAAGCGUGGGGAGCGAACAGG
rnacentral:rRNA from 1 species